ACUCAAAUGAAUUGACGGGGGCCCGCACAAGCAGCGGAGCGUGUGGUUUAAUUCGAGGCUACGCGAAGAACCUUACCUAGGGUUGACAUGGCGGUGGUAGGGGGUGGAAACAUUCCUGACCUUCGGGAGCCGUCACAGGUGCUGCAUGGCUGUCGUCAGCUCGUGUCGUGAGAUGUUCGGUUAAGUCCGGUAACGAGCGCAACCCUCGGGGCUAGUUACAAGUGUCUAGCCCGACUGCCCGGUGGAACUGGGAGGAAGGUGGGGAUGACGUCAAGUCAGCAUGGCCUUUAUCUCUAGGGCGACACACACGCUACAAUGGCUGGUACAAUCGGUAGCGAAGGGGCAACCCGGAGCCAAUCCAACAAAACCAGUCUCAGUUCGGAUUGCAGGCUGCAACUCGCCUGCAUGAAGUUGGAGUUGCUAGUAAACGCGGAUCAGCCACGCCGCGUUGAAUACGUUCCCGGGCCUUGCACACACCGCCCGU
rnacentral:rRNA from 1 species